GUUAUAUUAAAUAAGUUAUUUUAUGGAAAAUGCAAGAAUCCCCAAGAGUUAUCAACACUUGUCUUGUAGGAUGAUCUCACAAAAUCCAUUUUUGUUUAAAAACUGAAAUAUAAUUUUUUUUCUAGUCUGGUAAAGUGAUGGCAGAUAACAGUGUUGGUCGUUUCCUGAUGGAUCUUGUGAACAAAGUGCCCAAGAUCACAGCAGAAGACUUUGAGAGCAUGCUGAACUCCAACAUUAACGAUCUGUUGAUGGUGACCUACCUGGCAAAUCUCACUCAAGCUCAGAUCGCGCUUAAUGAGAAGCUAGUUGUUCUGUGAAAAGAAAUGAAAAUAAAUAAAAAUGUUUGUCAUUCCAACAA